GUCCUCGUGUUGCAUCCC
rnacentral:snRNA from 1 species